UACGUAGGGUGCAAGCGUUGUCCGGAAUUAUUGGGCGUAAAGAGCUCGUAGGCGGUCUGUUGCGUCGGCUGUGAAAACCCGGGGCUCAACUCCGGGCCUGCAGCCGAUACGGGCAGACUAGAGUUCGGCAGGGGAGACUGGAAUUCCUGGUGUAGCGGUGAAAUGCGCAGAUAUCAGGAGGAACACCGGUGGUGAAGGCGGGUCUCUGGGCCGAGACUGACGCUGAGGAGCGAAAGCGUGGGGAGCGAACAGG
rnacentral:rRNA from 1 species